AUUGAACGCUGGCGGCAGGCCUAACACAUGCAAGUCGAGCGGAUGAUGGGAGCUUGCUCCUUGAUUCAGCGGCGGACGGGUGAGUAAUGCCUAGGAAUCUGCCUGGUAGUGGGGGACAACGUUUCGAAAGGAACGCUAAUACCGCAUACGUCCUACGGGAGAAAGCAGGGGACCUUCGGGCCUUGCGCUAUCAGAUGAGCCUAGGUCGGAUUAGCUAGUUGGUGGGGUAAUGGCUCACCAAGGCGACGAUCCGUAACUGGUCUGAGAGGAUGAUCAGUCACACUGGAACUGAGACACGGUCCAGACUCCUACGGGAGGCAGCAGUGGGGAAUAUUGGACAAUGGGCGAAAGCCUGAUCCAGCCAUGCCGCGUGUGUGAAGAAGGUCUUCGGAUUGUAAAGCACUUUAAGUUGGGAGGAAGGGCAGUAAGUUAAUACCUUGCUGUUUUGACGUUACUGACAGAAUAAGCACCGGCUAACUCUGUGCCAGCAGCCGCCGUAAAAC
rnacentral:rRNA from 1 species